GUCACAAAGAAUAUUUUAGAUGUACAGGUUGAGCAUCACUCAUCCAAAAAUCCAAAAUCUGAAAUGCUCCAAAAUCCUAAGCUUUUUGAGCACCAAUAUGACACUCAAAGGAAAUGCUUAUUGGUAAGGAAUAUAAUGCAAAUAUUUCAAACUAAAAAAAAAAAAUCCAAGAUCCAAAACACUUCUGGUCCCAAGCAUUUCUGAUAACGGAUACUCAAACUGCAGUUACGUUCUAGAAAGUCACCACAAAUACUGAACUGGUGAACACGAAACCACAGCUGCUGGGGAAAUACAGAGUUAGGUUGUUACAAGCCUCUGUUCACAACAUUUUAUUCAACUCAUCACCAUAUAACCUGUGUUAAGUGUGUUUCUGUUUAAAGGCACCCUAUUUAAUGUAUAUUGCUGAUUCAUUAACUCGGAGCUUAUGACCACCAGUGCUGUAACUCGUGCCUGCAUGAAGCUUCUCUAACACAUGUUUUCUCCGUAAGGCAUGCCACAGGCAUCCUGCACUUAGAAACACUACUCCGCACUUCAGUACUGUGCUUGGGGUCUUAUCAAGCAGUAAAAUCAUCAACAAAAGCACAAAAACAUCUAAGAAUAUGACAUCGAAUAGACCACAGAAAGGACACUUGUUUACAGCAUGAGAGCUUAAACAAGAAGGCAGAGGUCACCCUGCUUGACCUCAGCUGGGAACAGGCACAUCAGGCAACUCAAAUGUUUCCCCACCAUGCACACGUUUUCAAAGGUGCCAUGAGGAUUGAUCUGGGGGCUGCAAAUAUGUGUUAGCAAAUAGGCAAAUUCCCAAAUACACAAACCACAAAUAACGAAGACUCACUACAUAUGCCCAUACCUGUUUAAGGAUUUGCGUGUGCGCGCGCACGCACACACACACACCCCCCUUCACCUGCUAAGGGCAUUAGCGGCUUGAGGACAGCAAACUCCCUCAUACCUGAAUCAUGCCAACAGGUAGAAGCUCUGUCUACUCUUCCAGCCUGAGAAAGCUACUGCCUAUCUGAAGGGGACUUCAUGUUCACAUGGGCACUGCCUCACCAAAGCAGGGCACUGCACAGAGGCAGGAUCCACCCUAGAUGCCUGUUUUUGAUCAGGAGAAACCUGCAGGUCUGACAGCUUAAUGCGAGAAACGGGUUCACUUAAGAAAGAACCACAUUGUUUCAUUAAGACCCCUCGUGGGUCCCUGGGAGCUGGAUACUACCUGUCUCCUACUUCCCUGCUGUCAUUCUCCAGGAGUGCCUCCUGGUCACAGGCUCAGCAAACGCUCACAGACCUCAAGUUCCACGUUGACUCUGGUAUGUUGGCUGCAGAGAAAGGAGAUGGCUCCACAACUCUGCGUACCCCAAAGGCACCUCCUAUCAGUGGCUCCAGCAACGUCGCUGGCUGCUCCAGGGCGUGAUGGAGCACAAACUGCCCAGGAUUGGGGCCAGCUCACCAGCUGCGGAUUUCAUCACCACUCUCCUUGUUUUAGAAACAGAGCCCAAAGACAGGCAUGCAAAUACGCUGUGCUCUGGCCAGAUUUUACAGACACACUAAAAUGUUGGUUCAUAACAUACUCAGCCUCUCUCCUGCACGGGCCACAUGUGCUCGCUCGUGAAGUGUUUUGAUCAGCGUGGGGAGAAGGUACUAUAUUUCAAUGCCUCUUUUUGAUUUUAAGGCUGUAAGACUUUCUUUUGUUUUGUUUUCUGCUAGAGCUAAAAUGCUUUUCUGGGUGAGCAGGAAUAGCCUUUUUGUCUUUUAACAUUUAGCUGAGGGGAAAAAUACUCACUUCCUUGGUCAUCAUGGCAACUGUCAUGCUAGAGGAUUCUAAUACAUACAGAACUGGCUAAGAAGUUAGAGUCCAAACCUAUGACUGCGCCCAGGUCAAGUUUUCUUCCACUCAGCAGUUCAAAGGGCUUACCUGCCCAACUCCCCUGAUGCUCAACUAGGUCUGUGACGAGCCCCCACCACCAGGAAACCUGCGGACAUAGCUAGAUCUCUUCCACUGAAGAACGGGACCUCUCUUGGGAGAAUGUAGGGGUGAGUCCCUAAGAUACCAGGCCAAAUGUGGAUCACUUCCACCAGAAGAGGAAUUCUAUACAUUGAGUGUUACGAAGUACAGGCAGAUUUUGGUAAUGUUUUUUGAUAGAAAGACAAUAAUAAUUUUAACAAGAGACCAGGCAUGGUGGCUCACACCUAUAAUCCCAGCACUUUGGGAGGCUAAGGUGGGUGGAUCACCUGAGGUCAGGAGUUCGAGACUAGCCUGGCCA